rnacentral:rRNA from 1 species
AGAAUUAAACUGAAGAGUUUGAUCCUGGCUCAGAUUGAACGCUGGUGGCAUGCUUAACACAUGCAAGUCGAACGGUAACAGGUCUUAGGAUGCUGACGAGUGGCGGACGGGUGAGUAACGCGUAGGAAUCUGCCCAUUUGAGGGGGAUACCAGUUGGAAACGACUGUUAAUACCGCAUAAUAUCUGUGGAUUAAAGGUGGCUUUCGGGCUGUCGCAGAUGGAUGAGCCUGCGUUGGAUUAGCUAGUUGGUGGGGUAAGGGCCCACCAAGGCUACGAUCCAUAGCUGAUUUGAGAGGAUGAUCAGCCACAUUGGGACUGAGACACGGCCCAAACUCCUACGGGAGGCAGCAGUGGGGAAUAUUGGACAAUGGGGGCAACCCUGAUCCAGCAAUGCCAUGUGUGUGAAGAAGGCCCUAGGGUUGUAAAGCA